UAGAGAGAUCACUACAAACCGAUGCUUAUGCCAGUCAUUGGUAAAAUAUAUCUGAUGCUUUAAAGCAUCAGGAUUAUUUAGGAUUUUUUAAAAUUCGGACGCUUUAAAGCGUCGAUAAAUUAAAAAAGAUAAUAGAAAUUGGUUUUAUACAAUAGAGGGUUAAUAUGAUGAUAUUUUUUGAAGCGUCAGUAUUUGCGAUAUUGUAGGGACCCUCAAGCGUCGUCUAAAAAGCGUCUUUAUAUUGAAAUUUUCUUAUAGUGUGCACCUCUUAAUUAAUACAACCAUUU
rnacentral:lncRNA from 1 species